rnacentral:rRNA from 1 species
CCUACGUGAGGCAGCAGUGAGGAAUAUUGGUCAAUGGGCGCGAGCCUGAACCAGCCAAGUAGCGUGAAGGAUGACUGCCCUACGGGUUGUAAACUUCUUUUAUAAAGGAAUAAAGUGAGGCACGUGUGCCUUUUUGUAUGUACUUUAUGAAUAAGGAUCGGCUAACUCCGUGCCAGCAGCCGCGGUAAUACGGAGGAUCCGAGCGUUAUCCGGAUUUAUUGGGUUUAAAGGGAGCGGAGAUGGGUUGUUAAGUCAGUUGUGAAAGUUUGCGGCUCAACCGUAAAAUUGCAAUUGAUACUGGCAGUCUUGAGUACAGUUGAGGUAGGCGGAAUUCGUGGUGUAGCGGUGAAAUACUUAGAUAUCACGAAGAACUCCGAUUGCGAAGGCAGCUUACUAAACUGCCACUGACAUUGAUGCUCGAAAGUGUGGGUAUCAAACAGGAUUAGAUACCCCUGUAGUC